rnacentral:sRNA from 1 species
ACCACACCCAUGCACUUCAGAAGGACC